rnacentral:rRNA from 1 species
AGUCCUGACGCGCCAUGAUGCUGGACCCACAGCUGCCCAUUCCGAACAGAAAUGUGACACAGCGCGCGGCCGAUGAUAGUGCCGGCGUGCCCGGUGCGAAAGCAGGUUAUGUCAGGA